UCAAACUUGGUCAUUUAGAGGAAGUAAAAGUCGUAACAAGGUCUCCGUAGGUGAACCUGCGGAGGGAUCAUUAUCGAGGAGGGUCUCUAGGCCCGAUCUCCAACCAUUGUGAUAAACUACUUUGUUGCUUUGGCAGGUCCGCCUAAUGUGGCCGUGGGGGACCGGUGGUCCCUAGCCUGUGCCUGCCAGUAGCCAUCAAAAACUCGUUAAAAAAAUAUUAUCCGGAAUAAUUAGAAUAAUAAAACUUUCAACAACGGAUCUCUUGGCUCUGGCAUCGAUGAAGAACGCAGC
rnacentral:misc_RNA from 1 species